AGACUGUAAUGAAAGUUAGUUAAAAUAAAAUAACUUUAAAUUACUUACUCAAAAUUUAGUAAAACUUCAAAUAAAUUUCACUCAGCAUAAAAAGACCAUUCGAUUCACCUGGCUGCAUUACGUAGAACCUGAAUGAGAACGAAAUCCGAAUUUACUCUGAAAGAUUUCGUUGCAAGUUGAAUUAUCAAUAAAUAUGUGCAUUAUAAACUCAAAAUAUGACAAACAAUUAACAAAACAUACAUAUUUAUCAUUGUUUUAAGGAAUUAGAUCACAAUCAGUCAAAAGGAAAGUCUGGAACAAACCAUAGAAAGGAGCUCUCGCUGACUCGGACUCUGACUCGUUUUUUUCUGUAACAGGAAGUGGUGCAAAUGGAACCUGGCUAUUCAGUUUCGUAUUCACCAAAGAAUCGGGAAAUACCUUAAUUUUUAUAAUAUUCGUCGUUCAUAUUUUAAUCUUGAAAAUGUAUCUUCGCUUCAAAGACGAACGCUGAUGACUAUGUGAUAUAAAUUUACUUCAUGGAACCAAAGCUAGUUUUUUAUGGAAGGCCGUACGUCACAAAUUACGUCAUCAUGCGGAUCAGAAACAGACUAGAAAGAGCAGAAUGUUUUCAAUUGCAUAUUUUCUGUAUUUGCAGGGCACUCCAUUAUACCACACUGAUAGCUUCUCCAAGAUUAUAAAUAUGAUACAUGUAAACAGGCACAGUUACCUGUCAUCACAAGGAUCAGAAUUCAAGUACCAGAAUAGUCCUAACUCCUAA